rnacentral:rRNA from 1 species
UGGCUCAGGAUGAACGCUGGCGGCGUGCCUAACACAUGCAAGUCGAACGAAGCAUGAUUGAAGGAGACUUCGGUCAAUGGAUAUCAUGACUUAGUGGCGGACGGGUGAGUAAUACAUGAGCAACCUGCCUUUCAGAGGGGGACAACAGCUGGAAACGGCUGCUAAUACCGCAUAACGUGCGAGAGGGGCAUCCCUUUUUGUACCAAAGGAGCAAUCCGCUGAAAGAUGGGCUCAUGACUGAUUAGUUAGUUGGCAGGGCAACGGCCUACCAAGACUGCGAUCAGUAGCCGGACUGAGAGGUUGAACGGCCACAUUGGGACUGAGAUACGGCCCAGACUCCUACGGGAGGCAGCAGUGGGGAAUAUUGGGCAAUGGGCGAAAGCCUGACCCAGCAACGCCGCGUGAAGGAAGAAGGUCUUCGGAUUGUAAACUUCUUUUAUGAGGGACGAAGGACGUGACGGUACCUCAUGAAUAAGCCACGGCUAACUACGUGCCAGCCGCCGC